CCUACGGGGGGCUGCAGUGGGGAAUAUUGGACAAUGGGGGCAACCCUGAUCCAGCCAUGCCGCGUGUGUGAAGAAGGCCCUCGGGUUGUAAAGCACUUUCAGUGAGGAAGAACGCCUGGUGGUUAAUACCCAUCAGGAAAGACAUCACUCACAGAAGAAGCACCGGCUAACUCCGUGCCAGCAGCCGCGGUAAUACGGAGGGUGCGAGCGUUAAUCGGAAUUACUGGGCGUAAAGCGCGCGUAGGUGGCUUGAUAAGCCGGUUGUGAAAGCCCCGGGCUCAACCUGGGAACGGCAUCCGGAACUGUCAAGCUAGAGUGCGGGAGAGGAAGGUGGAAUUCCCGGUGUAGCGGUGAAAUGCGUAGAGAUCGGGAGGAAUACCAGUGGCGAAGGCGGCCUUCUGGACCGACACUGACACUGAGGUGCGAAAGCGUGGGUAGCAAACAGGAUUAGAUACCCUGGUAGUC
rnacentral:rRNA from 1 species